AGUGGAAUUGCUGAGUUAUAUGGUAACUAUACUUAACUUUUUUGAGAAACUGCCAAACUGUUUUCCAAAGUGGCUACAUCAUUUUAUAUUCCCACCAGCAAU
rnacentral:pre_miRNA from 1 species